rnacentral:rRNA from 1 species
CGCCGCGUGACCGAUGAAGCUUCUAGGAGUGUAAAGCUCUGUCGUGAGGGAAGAAAAAUCCGGAUGUAAAUAAUGUUCGGACGUGACGGUACCUCACAAGAAAGCACCGGCUAACUUAGUGCCAGCAGCCGCGGUAAUACUAGGGGUGCUAGCGUUGUCCGGAAUCACUGGGCGUAAAGGGUCCGUAGGCGUUUUGCUAAGUUGAUUGUUAAAUCCAUCGGCUCAACCGAUGAUCUGCAAUCAAAACUGGUAGAAUAGAGUUCGAGAGAGGAAAGUGGAAUUCCUGGUGUAGCGGUGACAUGCGUAGAUAUCAGGAGGAACACCAAUGGCGAAGGCAGCUUUCUGGCUCGAUACUGACGCUGAGGGACGAAAGCGUGGGGAGCGAACAGGAUUAGAUACCCUGGUAGUCCACGCCGUAAACGAUGAGUACUUGAUGAUGGAGGAUUCGACCCCUUCGUUGUCGUAGCUAACGCGAUAAGUACUCCGCCUGGGGACUACGACCGCAAGGUUG